CAAGAACCUCAAAUUUGGAUACUAAUUUAAGACCUCUUAAUCUAUUUUAUAAUUAUAAUAAUAAUUAUCAAAUCCAAUAUCUUUCCUCAAGUUUAAAUAUUCAAAAAGGAUUUAUUCCAUUAAAUGGUGGUUAACCUCAAUAUGGCCAAUAAAAUAAAGUAUGAAAUUCUUAAGAUAUACGAUAUUUAGAAAUACUAGCCGAGGAACAAGGUACUCAAUUCAUUAGAAACUAGCCUUCAUCUUCUCAAAUACAUUACAUCUUUCAUGAAAAAGUUCCUAAUA
rnacentral:lncRNA from 1 species